rnacentral:rRNA from 1 species
AACUAACAAGGAUUCCCUUAGUAACGGCGAGCGAAAAGGGAAGAGCCCAGCGCUGAAUCUAAUGUCCCCCGGGCAUUAAGACAUGUGGCGUUUGGGACGAAACAUUGCCUGUGCAGAAUGAUCAUCCAAGUCCCUCUUGAACGGGGCCAUUACCCAUGGAGGGUGCUAGGCCCGUACGAUGAUUUUAUUGUGCAGUGCGUUUCGUCCGUAGAGUCGGGUUGCUUGGGAGUGCAGCCCAAAUCAGGUGGUAAACUCCAUCUAAGGCUAAAUAUGACCACGAGACCGAUAGCGAACAAGUACCGUGAGGGAAAGGGAAAAGAAAACUUGAAGAGAGAGUUCAAUAGUACGUGAAACCUCUCGGGGGUAAGCGGGCAGAACUUGCAAGUAUUGGUGAGGAGAUUCAGGCUUAGUGUCGGUGACUGAGAGUAUGAAUUAAGUUGUUUGUUCGCAAAUGAUUGAUGUGUGCUCUUUGUUUUGCUGAUGAUGCGCCGCAUUUCUUUUUACCAUCCGGGUUGCAUGCAACUGAGUUGGCAAUUUAGGUGCUGGGUGUCUGCGUGUCCUUGUGGCUCGAGCCCUGGUUUUCCAAUUGCUCAUGCGGUUGUUGAAAGCGAACAGGCGUUUGUCGCGGUCAAAGUUAUUCACGAGUAGGGUUUGUAUAGUGCAUGGAUGGGUAACCAUAGUGUAUUGUACCGACUGAUUGUCAGUGAGUGAUUUUUGGCUCUGUUCAGUAUUGCAAUCUAAAGCAUGCGUGGUCUGCCUGU